CGGGUGAGUAAUGCGUGACCAACCUCGCCCCACUGCUCCAGAAUAGCUCUUGGAAACGGGUGGUAAUGCUGGAUGCUCCAACUUGACGCAUGUCUUGUUGGGAAAGUGUUUAGUGGCAUGGGAUGGGGGUCGCGUCCUAUCAGCUUGUAGGCGGGGUAAUGGCCCACCUAGGCUUCGACGGGUAGCCGGCCUGAGAGGGCGGACGGCCACAUUGGGACUGAGAUACGGCCCAGACUCCUACGGGAGGCAGCAGUU
rnacentral:rRNA from 1 species